ACUGGGUGGGCUUUCAGGUCCCUUCCAAGCUAAGCCAUUCCGUAGUUCUAUGUUUGGGCUCACUCACCUUCUUGGGCAGCCCCAGAUGUGACUCUAUGAGAUAUUUUCCAAUGGACAUUGGAUGGAGUUGGGCCACAAUUGAAGUUACAGCUUAAUCCCAGAGUUUUAAUGUGCUCAACCUGCAGCUUGAACUAUGUGCAUUCUGUGUGUGUGUGGUCUUGAAAACUUGAAAAAAAAAUAAUAAUAUUUGCCCAUUUGUUGCUGUGGUGAUGAAGGAGUGUGGAACAAAAGAGAGGUAUUCCGGUUGCCCCGGGCCUGUGAACAAACAGAAUCAGAGAGAGUUGGUGAGAAUGUGCUGUUAGCUGUAACCAGAGAAGGCGGCAGUCAGCCACUGCUGCCUGCCUGCAAAGUCUUCAUAACCCCCUCUUUCAUGCUUGCCCUAGCAAAAUGGCAUCGUCUAAAGCUGGAUGACAAAGAACACCAACAGCUGGACUUGCAUUGUGCCAGACCAGACUUGGCCCAUAAAUCAAGCAAACUGAAAAUCUAGCCUCACUCCCUUCAAGGAACCCAGAGGAUGAUGCAACCUUCAGCUCAAGUCCAAGCUCACAGCUGAAGGAUGCUUAAGCACAGUGUUUUGGGAGCAGUGUUACAGCCCUCGCCAGCCAUCGGCCUGGCUGACCUUCUGAAUCAUUCAGACCAUCGUAAAAGCCUCAGGCAAAAGCGAUCGCUCUUGUUUUCUGCUUGUGAAACACAGGUUAGUCUCCUGAGAAUUAAAAUACUUCAGUUUAAUUGAAACCUUUAGGUUUAAUAUAUGGGCCUAUUUGCUAAAAUAUAAAGAUCUGAGGUGAGCAGAGGUCACGUGAGGUGAUCGCAUGGUGCAGUGUCUGGGGGGCCUGAGGGGUAAAAGCUGCCUUUGCUUUAGUAAAAGAUAGACAGAGGUGGAACGGGCUACAAAGGGCUUUGAAUGGAAGACAGACAGCAUGCAUUUGACACAAGAAAAACAAAGACAACAGACAGUUGGAAGGAUAAAGUUGGUGUGGCCAAAGGACACGGCUAGACAACCACUGCAGAACCAUUUUGAAUGGAUAUGAAUGGUAAGAUUGUAUUAGUCAAGUAAAAACGAAGAGAAAAUGAAAAGUUCUGUUUGAGUCACAAUGAGCUCAAUCUGCCAGUUAUCUAUUGGGGAUGGGAUUUCUGAGACACAGGCUACAAUUUCAGUUUGAGUAGAGGAGGCAGGUCUGGGAGUAUGAGUAGAAACGUCCCAUUUGAAUUGUCAUCUGCAAGGGAAAUUAUCUAGAAAUACAUGAUGUAGAAGAAAACCCAUAUACCUGAUGAUUAGCAUGCACAAAUUCACAUGAAGAAUCCAUAUUUAAAAUCUUAGGUAUAUAUCACUUUGCUCUGUGCUAAAUUCGUAUGAAAAUGUAUCCCUAAAUCCCUAGUUCGAUUUGGUGCUUAAAACAGCUCUUUAUUUAACCAUGAUAGAUUUAAGAAUGAGAUAAAGUGAAGUACUGUUUUGCGACCACUUUGUCUUCCAGUAAGGUUUCAUAUUUGGAAGUCUCAGGUCAAAGGCAUUAAGGCCUGUCACGAUGCCACCUACCUCUGUACAUCUUCCACCGCUCCUCGGCAAAUUUUGAGGUAGAAAAUAAGAAAACCAUACCUAUGCAAGUAUAAACAAUUCUUACACUAAGCAAGUGGUCAUCCAGCAUGUUUCUGAAGGACCGUGACUUUGUUACUUGCUGCCUUAGA